CAAAGUGUUACUCUUUCCUUACUUAGAAAUAAAGCUUCCUUUGCAUCCCAGGGAGUGGGGUAAGUCUACAGAAAAACCCUUCUUUCCUGUGCAUGUUGGCCCUGCGCAGCAGGCAAACUGCUGGGUGGGCUGGAAGGGAAAUGGUGCGGUUCCUUUUGCUAGGAUAUAGGCAGCACUUGCCUGCCUCCCCAGGGCCCGUGUCCAUGUGUUGCUUCCGCGCCGCGUGGCUCGGAGACCUGGAAAUGUGGGAACGUUCGAGCUGCUGGACAGAGCCCAACCCAAGCAGAUCAGCUGUGCUGUCUUUUGCUCUCUCAAAUAAAUGCAGUUAGUUUGCUGUUGGAUUUUGUUUUAUGUCCUUCCAGCACUGGGGAAUUAUCCUGUGGUUGAAGACAUUCCCCUUCACCCGGAGCUGAAACCUGCUGUCAUAACAGAGGGAAAGCUAUUUUCACCACUGUCAGAAGAAGCAUCCGGCAUCUGAGAUAACAGCUUUUGAAAGAGCACAGAAACUGUUAUCAGUUUUGUCUUUUUAACACAGGCAGUUUAAAUAACUUUCACCCUCAGUUCAGGGACGCUCGCUGGGGAUUGCUGUUGCCAAGGAUGGCUUAAGGCCUUCAGGUGGACAGAGAAGACACGGUGUGCAAACAGAAAAAGUUGAGCCAGCAUUUUCCAGCUGAAUGUGAUAAAAAUAAAACAGAGGCAGCAAAAUGCAAAAAAUCCUCACUGAAGGCAAAAAACAACCCGGCCUCAUUCAACAGCAAACAGCACAACUAAACAUUCAAGAUCACAGAUCUGAUGUGAACUCUUUGCACAGAGUGGAGGAUUUCUUCCAGCUCAGAGGGAAUCUGUUUCAAAAUCAGUUUUUCGGUACAACAGGACAUAAGCAACUUCCAUUAAAGGACAGACAGCCUUCACUGAAGCUACUUAGAGGAAGCUGCUCUGCAAGAAAAAGAAGAUCCUGUGAGCACUCAAGGUCAACGCUCAAUGAGGCACAACUGGAGACAGAAGGCAGUUCCAUGAAGCACAGCUCCUGCUUUUUCCCUGCUGUUCUUGGUCCAGCAACUGAUGACAACGAAUCAGCUUCUAGCUCCUUGACUGCAGACGUGCGAUCCUCCUUACCCUGCUGGCAGGAGACUUUUGCAACCCCCUGAUGCUUUUGGGAGUUUCAAGGUCCUGUCAGCUGGAGCAGUGAAUGCCCGCAUCCCCUGGAAACUGCAGUAGUAUCCUGCUGCCUUAUAAAGGUUGAUAAUUGGAGAUGUAACAUCAUACACUGCAAAGAAUUAAGCAUGAAUGAUUCUAGAUCAUGAAAAAAAUCUGGGCAAGCUUGAAAAGCUCUUCCCCAGGGACAACAUUCCAGCUGGGGCUGAUGGUGCUGUGUGUGUGCACAUAAUGCCAUCCAUCAUGAGCUGCCUGUUUUCCCAACAGUGUGAGUGGGACUCUGGUACAACCCAGAGAGGACGUAGAGGAUGUGGUGAAAGAAACCCCUGACCUUGCUCCCUUCUAUGAAUUUUGAGUCUAGAUAAGACAAUCAUCUUGUUAUACUACUUCUUAGGAGUCUAAUCAUAUUACAGGACAUUGUAUUUCACCUGUUAGCUUCAAGACACCUUGUGAAUGGCUGAACGUGUCAGGAAAAGCUCUCUUGUGCUUCAGAUGUGAAUCAUUGACUGGAUUGUAAAAGGCAAAGGCAAUCAAUCAACUCCAAUCUGAGAGUUGUUGUUCAUGUGGGUAACGUAUCUUGAAGCUUUAAUCAUCUGCGUACCCUUUCGGAAGUAAUUUCUACAAAUAAAUUCCAAAUGUCAGAUAUAUUUCAUCAUUUAGCUUCAGCAUAUGGAAGUAAAAGUUGAAAGAAGCAAUUCACGGUCAUUUCUUACUGGGAAGAAAAUGAAGGGAAAAAUCCUUGCAGAAGAAAGAGAAGAAAAAGGAAGCCGCAGGAAAGUAUUGCGAGCUGAUUUGUGGACACUCCCCCAAAAGGUCAUGGGAGGUAAUGGAAGGAAUGAAACUGGUGAUGGAAAUCAGCAACACAGACAAACAUCCAAAAAAAUACAAUCUUCAAGGGAGCAGCAGGCAAUCAGGCAGGGGUUCUGUGAGAAUCCACAAACCUCAUGUCAGUGCUAAAAUAGGACAGCCAUCAGCUCUGCUCCACAUCACGCCCACGUGCAAAAGAGCCCAGCACCCAGAGCUCCAUCACAACCAGCUGCAGUUUGAGCACACACAGCCUCAGGCUUUGGCAAAAGCGCGUGAAGACCAGGUUUAUUUGGGCAGGGCUGGAUGAUGCUGGCAGAGAAGCAUCCACCCUUCGGUGUGAAAGUGGAAGGAGCUGAACUUUGAACUCUGAGAUAAGCAAAUCUGAACAUGAAAUAAGACAGUGGCAUGUUGGACUUAAGCUGGCCUUUAUAUAAAAACAGUGCACAGAAUGCCUUCUGUUCUUGAUUUUAUGUUCCACAAGUAGACUCUAAGACUCUGCUUUUCCUCCCCACCACUGGAGCUGUAUUAAGGCCCAGCAAUUCGGCAAUCCUGGCUCUUCUGAUCCUGGUAAUUUUAAAUGGUGUUGUGACCCUAAGAACAAAAGCAGUUUCCCUCUCCACUGUAUUUUGGUUGUUCUGGGACACGUUCUGUCCUGUAAUCAAUAGAGUUUAAAAAUAAAUUUACGUUGUGCU
ensembl:lncRNA